ACAUCUGUCACCCCAUUGGUCACCAGGGCUAAUUCAGCUGGUCUGGCUGUCUGGGCAAUUGU
ensembl:misc_RNA 7SK 7SK RNA